rnacentral:misc_RNA from 1 species
GAUGAAGAACGCAGCGAAAUGCGAUAAGUAAUGUGAAUUGCAGAAUUCAGUGAAUCAUCGAAUCUUUGAACGCACAUUGCGCCCGCUAGUAUUCUGGCGGGCAUGCCUGUUCGAGCGUCAUUUCAACCAUCAAGCCCUGUUUAGGCUUGUGUUGGGGACCUGCGGCUGCCGCAGGCCCUGAAAACCAGUGGCGGGCUCGCUAGUCACUCCGAGCGUAGUAAUACAUCUCGCUCAGGGCGUGCUGCGGGUUCCGGCCGUUAAAAAGCCUUAUUUACCCAAGGUUGACCUCGGAUCAGGUAGGAAGACCCGCUGAACUUAAGCAUAUCAAUAAGCGGAGGA